CCUUUGUCUUCUGAGGGAGAGUGUCCUUUUCUAUGUGAGUAGGAACCAGACCUGGAGGGAGAGGCUCAUCCAGAAAGCCUGUAGCAGCCUUACAGGCUUUUGACUUCUAGAUGACUGCAUCAGAAAUUCUCUGAGACAUUAGCUGCAGAAAUAUUAGGAAGAGAACCGGACUAAAUGAUGGGAUGUUUCUCUUUUCUCCUUGCUCUUCUCGGUAAGAACUGCACUGAAUCAGC